rnacentral:rRNA from 1 species
CCUGGCUCAGGAUGAACGCUAGCGACAGGCUUAACACAUGCAAGUCGAGGGGCAGCACAGGUAGCAAUACCGGGUGGCGACCGGCGCACGGGUGAGUAACGCGUAUGCAACUUACCUAUCAGAGGGGGAUAACCCGGCGAAAGUCGGACUAAUACCGCAUGAAGCAGGGGCCCCGCAUGGGGAUAUUUGCUAAAGAUUCAUCGCUGAUAGAUAGGCAUGCGUUCCAUUAGGCAGUUGGCGGGGUAACGGCCCACCAAACCGACGAUGGAUAGGGGUUCUGAGAGGAAGGUCCCCCACAUUGGUACUGAGACACGGACCAAACUCCUACGGGAGGCAGCAGUGAGGAAUAUUGGUCAAUGGGCGUAAGCCUGAACCAGCCAAGUCGCGUGAGGGAUGAAGGUUCUAUGGAUCGUAAACCUCUUUUAUAAGGGAAUAAAGUGCGGGACGUGUCCCGUUUUGUAUGUACCUUAUGAAUAAGGAUCGGCUAACUCCGUGCCAGCAGCCGCGGUAAUACGGAGGAUCCGAGCGUUAUCCGGAUUUAUUGGGUUUAAAGGGUGCGUAGGCGGCCUUUUAAGUCAGCGGUGAAAGUCUGUGGCUCAACCAUAGAAUUGCCGUUGAAACUGGGGGGCUUGAGUAUGUUUGAGGCAGGCGGAAUGCGUGGUGUAGCGGUGAAAUGCUUAGAUAUCACGCAGAACCCCGAUUGCGAAGGCAGCCUGCCAAGCCAUGACUGACGCUGAUGCACGAAAGCGUGGGGAUCAAACAGGAUUAGAUACCCUGGUAGUCCACGCAGUAAACGAUGAUCACUAGCUGUUUGCGAUACACAGUAAGCGGCACAGCGAAAGCGUUAAGCGAUCCACCUGGGGAGUACGCCGGCAACGGUGAAACUCAAAGGAAUUGACGGGGGCCCGCACAAGCGGAGGAACAUGUGGUUUAAUUCGAUGAUACGCGAGGAACCUUACCCGGGUUUGAACGCAUUCGGACCGAGGUGGAAACACCUUUUCUAGCAAUAGCCGUUUGCGAGGUGCUGCAUGGUUGUCGUCAGCUCGUGCCGUGAGGUGUCGGCUUAAGUGCCAUAACGAGCGCAACCCUUGCCACUAGUUACUAACAGGUAAAGCUGAGGACUCUGGUGGGACUGCCAGCGUAAGCUGCGAGGAAGGCGGGGAUGACGUCAAAUCAGCACGGCCCUUACAUCCGGGGCGACACACGUGUUACAAUGGCGUGGACAAAGGGAAGCCACCUGGCGACAGGGAGCGAAUCCCCAAACCACGUCUCAGUUCGGAUCGGAGUCUGCAACCCGACUCCGUGAAGCUGGAUUCGCUAGUAAUCGCGCAUCAGCCAUGGCGCGGUGAAUACGUUCCAAGGCCUUGUACACACCGCCCG